GUUCCGUGAGAGUGGGAACCUGAUGGACUCGCGGGAUGCGACCCAUGCCGGGAAGGGGUAGUUGCUGUGGUAACCGUGCUGCACGGCCCUGGGCCUGUAAUAAUUGCCUGUUAAAUGGAUGAGUGAAUUAAUAAUUUCUAGAGUACUUUCACACCUACCAUCUGACUCCUUGUACUCACACGGGGAGGCAGGUAUGGUCGUUCCCAUUUGCAGUGGAGAAAAUCGAGGCCACAGAAGGCGAAGUGGGCUGCUCAGCAUCAGCCAGCCGGAACUCAUGGGCUCCUGGAUAGUUUGAGCAUCCUGUUGGUUGCACAGAUCAACACUGUUCAGUGUGAGAAGGGACUACACCGGACCAUGAAUUCCAGUAAGGAAGAACCACUGGGGGUCAUCUUGGAGGCUGGCUACCACAGGGCUGCUAUUUCAUGCAUCUUUGGAUGACCAAGAUGGAGGAGAAAAGAAGAGGUCCCCCUACGCCAAACACAAAAUACGUCUUUGCAGUUAGUUACAAGGAUGACAACCUCCCUUCAGAAAUCUUUUCUUGGAGAGCACCUUGUGGUAGAAAUGUCCUACGCUUCUAGCCUGGUCCUCCAGGGCUGAGGAUUUCCACAUCCAAGGUGAGCUCCUGGUGGUCUUGGCUGGAGGACAUUGACAGAAGUGGAGAUUUACCAAGAUUCAGUAGAGCCCUCACUAUUUGGACCACCUGAGUCAGUAAUAGUGUGCACAUGUGGAAUCCCUGUGUCUUUACCUGCUUGAGGUAUCACCCUGUCCAUGGACUGGAGGCAACCUCAUGCUGAACUGAGAUCUGAUAUUUUGUUGAAACCCUUUGGCACUGAGUUUCUUUUGUUUUUAGGAAUAAGGGCUUUUGGUUGUCUGAUUUGAUUUGUAUCGUUCCUUGGUAAUAUUGCUUUCUAGCCU